UACGUAGGUGGCAAGCGUUGUCCGGAAUUACUGGGUGUAAAGGGCGUGUAGGCGGGGAUGCAAGUCAGAUGUGAAAUUCCGGGGCUCAACCCCGGCACUGCAUCUGAAACUGUGUCUCUUGAGUGCUGGAGAGGAAAGCGGAAUUCCUAGUGUAGCGGUGAAAUGCGUAGAUAUUAGGAGGAACACCAGUGGCGAAGGCGGCUUUCUGGACAGUAACUGACGCUGAGGCGCGAAAGCGUGGGUAGCGAACAGGAUUAGAUACCCUGGUAGUCCACGCCGUAAACGAUGGAUACUAGGUGUAGGAGGUAUCGACCCCUUCUGUGCCGGAGUUAACACAAUAAGUAUCCCACCUGGGGAGUACGGCCGCAAGGUUGAA
rnacentral:rRNA from 1 species